GGGGAGGAACGCGGCGCCGGUAGCCCUGAGUGCGGCGUGGGAAGCGCCUCGCCCCGCGACGAGGACUCAGUGCUGCGCCGUGAGCUUCUGUUGACCUGGGGCGGUUUGUUUAUUUCAGGUGACGGCCCGGGGCUCGCCCUAAGCAGCUUUUAUCGGGGGAUAAAGGGCAAACCUCGACGUGGGUCGGGCUGUCCCGCAGGAUGGGAACGGCACGGACUGAAGCCGCUCCUCCUCAAGCCCUGACCCAGUUCUCACGCAGAGCCUUGGCAGCUCGCCGCAGCUAUCCACGUGUUUGAAAAGCAUCGAUCCUGAGUUACUUCUGGAUUGGAAUGCAGCUGAUGCUGUGAGGGGACAAGUCUUCUAAAGAGGCCGAGGAAUAAGAACUGCUCCUUCCCCAGUCCUUACAGCACUGCUCCCCACACUCGUGGGAAACAGCUCCUGCCGAGCGGUUCUCUCCUCUGCACUGCCCUCCUACCAACACACGUGCUGUGACUUUACAUCCCACUGCCAGUCCUCCAGCUUUAAUGCAGCUUCUAUUUAGCUCUAGCUACUUCACAGGGGAGAAAGAGUGUUAAAAAAACCCAAAAAGUGCAAGCCGGGCCCUGUAUAAAUAAUUAACAUCGGUUUAACAGCA